rnacentral:rRNA from 1 species
AUGCACGAGCUCAAUGAGGUUGGAGUAGGGUUGAAAGUCGACAAUCUUCUUGAUGGGAUGAUUGAGGCCAUUCAAGAAACAGGCCAUUGUUUGCUCAUCAUCUUCGGUGACAUUGGCUCUAAUCAUGGCAAUCUCCAUUUCCUUAUAGUAUUCUUCAACGCUCUUUGUUCCUUACCUGAGGAGUUGGAGUUUCUUGAAGAGGUCGCGGUUGUAGUAGGUUGGCACAAAGCGUGCUCGCAUGACAUCUUUCAUUUCCUCUCAUGUGGUGAUUGGUGGUUCGCCUCUUGCUUCUCAGCGCUCAAGGACUUGUUCCCACCAUAUGAGCACAUAGUCUUGGAACUCAAGGGAUGGCAUAGCGAUCUUCUUCUCUUCCUCAUAGUUGUGCAAACGAAAGAUCUUGUCGACCUUCAAUGCCCAUGA